GUUCAGAGGUGUGCCUUCCUAUCUUCCUUCGAUCCUUUCCAGAACUCUUAGUUGAAUUAGAUUUCUUAUCAGGCUCUCCAAUCUAGGCCAGUCAUUAGCCAAUACAUAAGUAAUAGAAUAGAAACAUUAGUAUUAAUUAGUAUUUAGUAAUAGAAGGGAAUCGUGAAGUCUUGAUAGCUCCUCUAUCAUUCGAAUAUUUCUUUGACCUAAAUAUGCAAGUAGAUUGUCCAUCUUUUAUAAAAACCUCACCCUAUGUUUAGAAUCAAACAAGUAUCAAGACAACAGUCACCAGUCCAUUUUCUCUGCUUCUGCUGCGGAAUCUUUGUUAUCUUAUAGCAAUAGAAGAAAAGAAGAGAUUUCGAGGUUUUUGUUUGUUGAUCAGGCGACACCCGGAUUUGAACUGGGGAAAAAAGGAUUUGCAGUCCUCCACCUUACCACUCGGCCAUGUCGCCAAAAUGAUACAAAAAUUUUCCCAGAUUACUGAACUUCUUUUUUUAUUGUACUUGCUUUGUUUUCCUUCAUUUUUCCUACAAGAAAGCCCUCUUUUCUUCCCUUUUUUUGAGUGGAUUUGAUUCAUUCUUUCGAUUCAUUGUAUGGUAUCUCAAAAUACACAAAAAACUUUCUCUCACUUUUCUAUUGAAAAGUCAAAUGUGUAUUUUCAGUCGCAAAAGACAAAAUUGAUGAAAAUUGGAACCAUUAACAAUAUGACUGCGCAUGCACGAAAAGUUCUUGGAUUUGAAUCACAAAAUCAAAAUAGUGUUUUCCUAAUAACACAAAAAA